rnacentral:rRNA from 1 species
AUUGAACGCUGGCGGCAUGCUUUACACAUGCAAGUCGAACGGCAGCGCGGGCUUCGGCCUGGCGGCGAGUGGCGAACGGGUGAGUAAUGCAUCGGAACGUGCCCAGUAGUGGGGGAUAGCCCGGCGAAAGCCGGAUUAAUACCGCAUACGACCUGAGGGUGAAAGCGGGGGACCGAAAGGCCUCGCGCUAUUGGAGCGGCCGAUGUCUGAUUAGCUAGUUGGUGGGGUAAAGGCUUACCAAGGCGACGAUCCGUAGCUGGUCUGAGAGGACGACCAGCCACACGGGGACUGAGACAAGGCCCAGACUCCUACGGGAGGCAGCAGUGGGGAAUUUUGGACAAUGGGGGCAACCCUGAUCCAGACAUGCCGCGUGCGGGAAGAAGGCCUUCGGGUUGUAAACCGCUUUUGUUCGGGAAGAAAUCCUCUGGGCUAAUACCCCGGGGGGAUGACGGUACCGGAAGAAUAAGCACCGGCUAACUACGUG